UACGGCCACAUCACGUUAAAACAUCGGUUCCCGUACUAUCGCCGAAGUUAAGCAACGUCGAACUUGGUCCGUAGUCAGCUGGGUAACCAUUUCGGAAUACCAAGUGCUGUAAG